GUAAAAGAAUGGCUUUUCUUCCCCCCAAAAUCUUCAAAAAUCAAACACCUUUCCUAUUAAUAGGAAGAUAGGAGGGACCUGUGACUUCAUUAACUGUAGAAUUGAGGUAUCAUUUUUGAGGCUUUGAGUAAAAAUGAGGAAUUCUUUUUUAACUUUUGAUCCAUUCUUUGUGAAUUUUAUAUCAUGCAGCCCAAUCCCACCCAUCUCCUUGUCUCCUUCCCUGCCCUCUGCCCUUGUACCUCCCCCAAAGGAAAAAAAUCUUGUUGUAGAAGCUGUAGUAUGUCCCUGUGACCUAUAGUAUACCCUUUUGUCCACACUUCUUUGCUUUCAAACAUUUACUGCAAUGAAUCACUGGUCUAGUUCAAGGUCUCUGGCUUUUGCUACACUAUCAAUACUGGACCCUCAUUCAGACUUAUCUUGAUAUCCUGCUGUCACCUUAUGUCAUGGAGCUCCUGCAGCCUUGGACCUGUAGGACCAGCCCCUUCACACACUCCAGCAAUUCAUAUUUGGGGUAGAUGUUGGGGUGAGUACAUUCAAAGCCCUACAUGUGGGUGUAGGUGGCAUGUGAACUGGUCAGCCCACCAGCACUCCCACACCCACACCACCAGGACACCAGCACUCCAGCCGAUAGCUUACCCAAUGCAGCAGCUGCCAAGAGACAGAGCCAGCUCUCCCACUUCCAUGCCCUUGGGCCAGCUCACCUGCACCCAAGACAGUAGAGCCAGCUGUGCGGUGAGGGAUAGAGUCAGUUCUCCUGCCUGCCAUAGGUGAUGAGGGGCAAGGGGUGGGGUGAGGAGGGCAUCUCUCCCUCACCCAUGACACCACAGGGCAGACAAGCUGUGAAGCCACCUUGUACAUGCUCGCCCACUGACAGCCAGCUCAUGCCCUUGUCACCAGCUCUAUUGUGCUGCCCAAGUGAGGUGCAGGGCCUCUCUCCCGAGUACUGCAGCGGGUGAGGGAUAGGGCCAGCUCUCCUGCUCUCCUGAGGAAUUAUUUUUAAGGAAACCACUUUAAAGGUACAAGCUAAUGAACCCAUUUUAGUUUAUUACAACCCUUUUUCAACUCAUGUGUUUUGCACACUAAAUAACCUUGUGCAGAUUCCUGACUGUAGAGGCCAAAUGCGUAGAAUAAAGCUCUAAAUCAACAUCUCUGCUGCAGACCUGCCUUCUGUGUGCUGCCUGUACAUGUCUGUAUGCAUGUUCAACAACUCAAUACAUUGAAGAACAGGCUAUAAGCCAGGCGUAGUGGAACAUGCCUAUAAUAUCAGCACACAUAGCAUCAGGGGAGGAGGGUCAAGAGCCCAAGGCCAGCUCCAGCUACAAAAAAGAUCUUGAAUUAAACAUAACAAAAUGGACCAAAAAACAAAGGUGAAUUGAAAUGAAACUACUUGGCACUUCCUCUCAAAUCUGCUCCUCUAACAGUCCUUAUGGCUGCUCCUGUUAGUGUUUCUGAAAGCUUCUCUCUCCCUCCCCUCCAUCCAAUUGAUUACCGAGAGCUGUCAAUGCUGUCUCAUAAAUAACUCUACUAUUCAUUUAUGUAGUGGAUUCUCACUGACUCUUUCAUUACGUCUUAUCUGCGAUUCCUGAGUUGUGCAAUCCAUCUUCUGCAUUAGUAUGGAACUGAUGGUUGCAAAAUGAAAAUCGAUGUCACAGCGACAUUUAAAAUUCCUCUUAUGGUUUCUAACACUUGCGUUAUAUACAAUAGAAGCCAUGAAAGCACUUGCUAAAUG
rnacentral:lncRNA from 1 species